UUAAGCAUAUAAUUAAGUGGAGGAAAAGAAACCAACUGGGAUUCCCUGAGUAAGGGCGACUGAAACGGGAUGGAGCUCAUGAUGAAAAUCGGUGUACUAGUUGCACUGAGUUGUGAUGUGGAGAAGUUUGUGUCCAAAAGCCAGGGGAAAUUCAUUGGAAUAUGUUAGCAUGGAUGGUGAGACCCCAAUAUUCUUGGUGAACGAGCAAACCUUCAAAGAGUCGAGUUGUUUGGGAUUGCAGCUCUAAACGGUGGUAAAUUCCAUCGAAAGCUAAAUAUGGGUAGGAGACCGAUAGCGCACAAGUACCGUGAGGGAAAGAUGCAAAGAACUUUGAAAAGAGAGUUAAAGAGUACCUGAACUUGCUGAAACUGAAGCAAAGGAAAUCAACAAAAGCUGUGCCAUAUUUCUCAACUUGCUUGCAGGUUGGGCACUGUGUUGCAGCGUCGUUAGUGGUUGUGAUGUUUUGUACAAACAGUUGCGGGUUGUUUACCUGUGAUGUUGAUACNAGUUGUUGCNACAGCUGACUAAUUGGUUUUCUUUCUCCCGUCUUGAAACA
rnacentral:rRNA from 1 species